AACGAACGCUGGCGGCAGGCUUAACACAUGCAAGUCGAACGCAUCCUUCGGGGUGAGUGGCAGACGGGUGAGUAACGCGUGGGAACGUGCCCUUCAGUUCGGGAUAACCCAGGGAAACUUGGGCUAAUACCGGAUACGUGCGAGAGCAGAAAGAUUUAUCGCUGAAGGAUCGGCCCGCGUCUGAUUAGCUAGUUGGUGGGGUAAUGGCCCACCAAGGCGACGAUCAGUAGCUGGUCUUAGAGGAUGAUCAGCCACAUUGGGACUGAGACACGGCUCAAACUCCUACGGGAGGCAGCAGUGGGGAAUAUUGGACAAUGGGCGCAAGCCUGAUCCAGCCAUGCCGCGUGAGUGAUGAAGGCCUUAGGGUUGUAAAGCUCUUUCGUCCGGGACGAUAAUGACGGUACCGGAAGAAGAAGCCCCGGCUAACUUCGUGCCAGCAGCCGCCGCAG
rnacentral:rRNA from 1 species